rnacentral:rRNA from 1 species
UACGAAGGGGGCUAGCGUUGCUCGGAAUCACUGGGCGUAAAGCGCACGUAGGCGGGUCGUUAAGUCAGGGGUGAAAUCCUGGAGCUCAACUCCAGAACUGCCCUUGAUACUGGCGAUCUCGAGUUCGGGAGAGGUGAGUGGAACUGCGAGUGUAGAGGUGAAAUUCGUAGAUAUUCGCAAGAACACCAGUGGCGAAGGCGGCUCACUGGCCCGAUACUGACGCUGAGGCACGAAAGCGUGGGGAGCGAACGGG